GAUCCUAGAGGUCUUCUGCAGCCUUAGUGAUUCCAUGAUCCUAUGUGUAAUGGUUACUUGGGUAGACAAACACCAUAAGUCCAAAUGUCCCCCCUUCCUCCUUCUUCCCCCAGCUUUAUGUGCUUUGGGCUCCAUCUCUUAGGGUGGUUACUCAGGGCAGGAGAGGUGGGGUGUUGGGUGGAGUUACUGGGCACCAGAGCCAGCUCAGGUCAGGUCACGGCUGCACUCGCACUGCUUCUUGUAAGGCUUGUCGUCCAGUGGUUCGGGUGGUUCCUGCUAUAGCAACUCCCAUAACGUGCAACUCAAAUCACAGGUUACAACAGCUUAAAGGUAUUUCCAUUACACAGAGUCUCAGUAAUAAAAAUACUGCAUUUCCAUUUCUUGCUUCUUUAAAGGGGAAGAUGUGUUAUCCUCAUCCAGUGUAUUGACAGGUGCAUUUGUUGAUGUACUUUUUUAUUUUUUGGGGGGAACAUUAUGCGCUUGGGAACCUUUCUGUGUUCUGUGUACCUUCAGGCUUUAAACAUUGUAAUGAGCAUGUAUUCACAGCACAGGUAGGAUCAAAUCACAUUAACUCCUGUCUUGCAGAAAAUUGCCAUGCAUAUUUUGCUCAAAAUAAUGCUAGUUUUAAGUGCUUUAGGACGGAUUUUCUAGUGUCCUGAGAUGUGGCAGUGCUUUACAUGUUUAAAGAAAAGUUCUUUUUCAUUAUAAAGGUGGGCAUUCCACUUUCCUGCAGUGCAAACCUUGGCUGUCCAAACGAGCAGCCAGAAAACAUACUUGAACAAAACUCAGGUGCGUGCGACCUUCCCAGCGCCGCGUGAGGCCCAGAGGUGGCCGCAGCUGCCCUCCAUGGCAGAGUCUCCUGGAGCUGCCUUGGGGGUCCAGGGUAUGGCAGAGCCUGGGCGCUCCUGACCUGACAGCCACAGCUACGCUUGAUCCUAUCUCACAGCAGCUACAAACUGGAAAAUGCAGUUGUCAGUGAGGUGUGACUUCUAGUAAUGGAUGACACAGGGUAAAGGAAAACAUACCAGUCCAGAUGUUUAAAGCAAUGUAUGCAUUAUCCCCCAUUUCAGUGUUACCUGUUCCAUUUCAGCGGUUUUGAAACCUUUUGUGCCCUGGGUCACUAUGAAUGCAUAUCUGGGGCAAGGAAAAAGAGCAAAACUCUUAUUUGCGUUUUUUAUGUUUGUACCUAGUACAUAAAAAUUGCCUACAGAGUUCACUGGCUGAGAGGGAAGCUCAGCACCUGCUGCCCCUCCUCUCACUGCACAAUUCCUGACCUGCUUCUGGCUACAGCCUCCACGGCUGUUGCUGAAUACCACUUGCAGGAGAGCCUUGAUCCUCUUAUUACCCCAGCUGUUUUGCUACAGUUAGCUACUAUUAUCGUUUCCUCUUCCUGUUUCCUUCAGCUUGAAGAAUAGGGAGGCUUGAAGAGGGAAUGAAAAAGAGCAGAUUCUGGCAUUCUACUAACGUUAAUGAACUUUCAGCCUAACACAGUAACAGAAUAUGGGAGACAAGGGGGGGCAAAUCGACAAAAAAUGAUCACGUAAGAAUCUCUGCUUCCUGGUUUCUCAAACCACAGCUUCACCGACGUGAACAAAGGCGGGGUGACUUAUGCCAGCUCUUCAUAGCUUACACAUUCGCAUCUCUCUCUUGCUGACUCUCCAGCACCGCAUUAGAUGAGCAUAGGCAAAAUGUUCCUCUAAGAGGAGUCGUUAGUAACAAGGGUGAAAGCUAAGCAAGAUAAGAAGGCAGGAGCCAGAAAAAGUGAAGCUAUUGUGAAUAUAGCAGCACACUGAUGACUUUUUUUCUGGACAGUAAAGCUGAUGUUAGCUGAAAGUUUAGUAACAAUUAUUUUUUUUCCCCCUGAAAUGCCUGUUUACACAGUUGAGAUCUGCUUUUCCCAGCAGCGGAAACCUUUGGCUGAGUUUGUUAUGCAAAGCACAGCUGCUCCCGCAGAGAGGCACCUUGCUUACAGCAACAAGCGCCAACAGCAGUAUACCGGAACGCGCAAACUGGUUCCCGCCCUUCCUCCACAUAAGUGGGAUUUCUGAAGCUGCAAACCUGCAUCGUGAGGGAUGGAGCAAUCACAAGGCAAGCUCAGGGUGGUGGUUGAAUAAUAAAUACAAAUUAGGCUACUAUAGCAGACCAUGAGAAAAGGGGAAUGAAAAAAAUACUUAAUACGGUAUUUACUUAUUCAUGUAGAACAGUAAGAAAAGUGUUUCAGAGUGCCCUAGGCGUUACAUUGCAAACGCACCUGGUACCAGAAGCUGUUGCAAUGUCUGAAUGCUUAAAAAGAUGUAAAAGCUGCAGUCAGGAGAAAACACCAUGCCAGUCGUUUUCAAAAGGGUCUUUCCAUAAAUUACUUUAUUUCUCAUUAAAUGAGCACAGAGUCAUUACCAUAUUCAUAACAGAUAUGUUUAUUAUUACAUAUCCAUCAGUGCGGCUUUCAAUACCACUUGAAACAUGCAAACCGUCCUAAGGACGAAUCAGUUUUCCAGUGCUUCUUACUUAAUACACAACUGCAAAGCCGUUAUAAAUUACUGAGGAGGUAUUUGGUUAAGAAAUAAAAUAAAAUAAAUCCAUACUGCCCAUACCAUGAAUGUAUUCCUGCUACAAAGCAAGAGUCUGACAGCAUUUACGGAAAUUCCUGAAUUGCCCAGAGCUUUUGUGUUAUAUGCUUUUUUUUGGCUUUUUUUUUUUUUAAUUGCAUUGC